rnacentral:rRNA from 1 species
AUGGUUCUUCACCGAUGUGACAGUCCCGGCGACAUGUACCCCGUCCAGCCUUCAUCAUCAUCACACACUGCACCUCUCGCUCUUUCCGCCGGCAUUGAUCUUUGGCACGCCCGUCUCGGUCAUCCUAGCACCACCGCACUUCGUCAAAUAGUCAAGGGUUUUUCUUUUUCAUGUAAUAAAGCGGAUGCUCAUUCUUGUCAAGCAUGUCGCAUGGGCAAACAUGUUAGACUCCCGUUUAGUUCUUCUUCGACAGUUGCUUCUUAUCCUUUUGAAUUAAUUCAUAGCGAUGUGUGGACGUCACCUAUCACAAGUAAUUCUGGUUUUCUAUACUAUCUUGUUAUUCUCGAUGACUACUCUCAUUUUGUGUGGACCUUUCCGCUUCGUCGGAAAUCUGACGUUCCCGCCACCCUCCUCGCCUUUUUCUCCUAUGUGUCUACACAGUUCGGUCGUCCCAUCCAUGCUCUACAAACCGACAACGGGAAGGAAUUUGAUAACCUCACCAUCCGUACACUUCUCGCCAACCACGGCACCAUCUUUCGGUUAACCUGUCCAUACACCUCCCAGCAAAACGGUCGGGCCGAACGCGUUCUUCGCACUCUUAAUGACUGCGUCCGCACUCUUCUGUUUCACGCCUACAUGCCACCACGGUUUUGGCCGGAUGCCCUUGCCACCGCCACCCUCCUUGUUAACCUACGUCCGUGUCGUGUCCGUUGGAACUACACCCCGCAUCAUCUUCUCUUUGGGUCUCCUCCAUCCUACGACGGUCUUCGCAUUUUCGGAUGCCUCUGUUAUCCUAGUGUCGCAGCCCACGCCCCUCAUAAACUUGCCCCUCGCUCCUUACCUUGUGUCUUCCUCGGUUACCCGGCUAACACUAAAGGCUACCGAUGUUAUGAUCCGGUGUCUCACCGUGUCAUCACCUCUAGGCAUGUUUAUUUCGACGAGUGCUCUUUUCCUUUUGCACAGGAACAAAUGGAGGUGCCAGGAGAUGAUCACCCCUUGGCUGGCUCUACUCAUCAACGUGUUGCACUUGGACCUUUUCCUUUGGGUCGUGCACCGUUGGCCUCGCCAGCCCCUCUGCUGGCUUCGUUGGAGUCUUUGACGGCCUCGCCUGGCUCGUCGGCCACGCCGGGCUCUUCGCCAGCCUCG